GCAUAGUUCUUAGCAAUUUUUCUCCUUUUCCACUUUGUUAAUAAACUUCUUAACAUGCUAUUUUUCGAAUAAUUCUACUAUAAAGUAAUUAACAUGAACCUAUUUUAUCAUAUCAUGAUUGUUAGGAAUUUAUGAAUUUAGCUAUUCAUAAUCAUAAAUAAAUAUACCUGUUCUGGUAGGUUUGAUAAUUCUUGGCUUUGUUCAUCCAUAGCUUUUGCUUUGAAAUAUAUCUG
rnacentral:lncRNA from 1 species